UACGUAGGGGCCGAGCGUUGUUCGGAGUUAUUGGGCGUAAAGCGCGCGCAGGCGGCCUCGCGCGCCCGACGUGAAAGCCCCCGGCUUAACCGGGGAGGGUCGUUGGGGACGGCGGGGCUCGAGCACAGUAGAGGCAGGUGGAAUUCCCGGUGUAGCGGUGGAAUGCGUAGAGAUCGGGAAGAACAUCAGUGGCGAAGGCGGCCUGCUGGGCUGUUGCUGACGCUGGGGCGCGACAGCGUGGGGAGCAAACAGG
rnacentral:rRNA from 1 species